CUUUAUUGUUUAAUCUUUUGUUCAGAAAAUCAGAAAAAUGUUUUUGUUAAAUAUAGGUGUGCAACAAUUAUUGGCACCCCUAUGAAUUCAUAUGAGAAAAAUAUAUUUUAAGUAUAUUCCCAUUGAUAUUUUACAUUUUUUGUACACCUGGGUGACUAGGGGUAUAAACAUGAGGUAACAUAUAGGCCAAAUUCCCUUAGUCAUUCAUAACAAUGGGUAAGACCAAGGAAUAUAGCGGUGAUGUGUGGCAAGAGGUUGACAUCCUCUAUAAGAGUUUAGAAAAAGCAUUGAAAAUGCCCAUUUCCACCAUCGGGAAAAUAAUUAAGAAAUUCCAGUCAACUGGAAAUGUUGUUAUGAAUCAACCUGGAAGAGGACGUGUGUCUAUAUCGUCUCAGCGCACUGUGAGGGGGAUGGUUCAAGUGCCCAAAAAAAGUAUCACAGCUGGAGAAUUGCAGAAGUUAGUUGUAUCUUGGGGUCACCUGCAUCACCACAAGUUGUUUCAAAUGGUUUCAAGAAAAAAGCUAAAGAAAAAAAAAAAAAACUUUUUUCCAGAAAAAAAAUGGCCAUGGUCAGAUGAAACCAAAAUAGAGCUUUUUGGCAAUAAACACCAGAGGUGGUUUUGGCACACACAGAAGUCGCCAUAUGGAAACGUACCUCAUGCCCACAGUUAAAUAUGGUGGUGGCUCUUUAAUGUUUUGGGUCUGUUUUUCUGCCAGAGGGGUCCGUGUACUUUUGCGUCCAUUCAUUUUUCUUUUUGUAACCCAUUAAUGAAAAGCAAAAAAUGAAUGGUUGUUUUAUUUUUAAAAUGCAAUAUUGAAUACUAAAUUUUUAAUUCGAACUGUACACACCAAAUGCUGCACCAAAAAUAAAAUAUUGACGUAUUUUCAGAUUUUUGUUUAUGAUGUUUUGCACCUUUUAUUAAACAUUUAAAAGAUUCACAAAUUAAUAUGAAAAAAAAAUGUCGAUUUUACUGGUUUUCUAAGGCCAAAUUAGAACCCGGAAAUUAUGUUUCUGACACUCAGCUGGAGAUGGCUGUAUCAAAAGAAGUACAAGAAGCAGGACCAACCUACGGUCGUGAGUUGAUGACCACUUAUUUUGCAGCAAAGGGAAUUCGAGCCGCAGAAAGUCACGUUGGACGAGCCCUCCAGACAAUACAUCGACUAUACCAUGAAAUGAGAUGCAAUGUAGUAUCCCAGUCCCCUGACUUGAAACCCAUAGAAAACAAGUGGGGUGAACUGAAGAGGAGAGUCCACCAGCAUUGACCUCCAAAUUUGAAGGAUCUGGAGAAAUUCUGUAUGGAAUGGUCCUGCCGUGUAUUCUAGAACCUCAUCAGGCAUUAUAGGAGAAGACUCAGCUAUUAUCUUGGCAAAGGGAGGUAGCAUAAAGUAUUGACUAAAAGGGUGCCAAUAAUUGUUGCACACCUAUAUUUAACAAUUUUUUUUUGUAUAAACCUGUGUUUUGUUUGCAAUUGUUUGAUACCCAAAAGAGCAGAGUAUUUUUGCGAAUGUUUUUAACAAAAGAUCAAAAAGUUAAACAAUAAAGACAACUUUUAACAGUUUUCUUUGCUCAUAUUUACCAAGGGUGCCAAUAUUAGUGGAGAGCAUUGUGUGUAUAUAUAUACAGCAGGGGAAAUAAGUAUUGAACACAUCGAUAUUUUUUUUCAGUAAAUAUAUUUCCAAUGAGGCUAUUCACAUGAAAUUUUCACCAGACUUUAGUAUUAACUCCACCCAUAUCCACACACAGAAAUCCAUACAUUAAAGUCCAUAAAUAAAGUUAUGUGUAAUAAAGUGGAAUGACACGGGAAAAAAGUAUUGAACACGCUAACUGAAAUGUAUUUAAUACUUAGUGGAGAAGUCUUUGUUUGUAAUGACGCUUCAAGACACUUCUUGUAUGAAGAAAUUAAUGGUCGCAGUAUUCAGGUGUGAUUUUGGUCCGUUCUUCUAAACAUAUUGUCUUUAAAUCUUGUUCAGUUGGAUUCGAGUCAGGUGAUUGACAGGGCCAUUCUAACACCUUGAUUUUUUUCUCUGAAACCAAUUGAGAGUUUCCUUUGCUGUAUCCUUUGGACCAUUGUUCUGCUGGAAGCUCCACCCACGUCUCAUCUUCAUCAUCCUGGUGGAUGCAGCAGAUACUUCUAAAAAAUCUCCCGGUAAAGGACUCCAUUCAUCGUUCCUUCAGUUAUAUGAAGUCUGCCAGUACCAUGUGAUGAAAUACAGCCCACACCAUGAUGCUUCACCUCCACACUUCACUGUUGGUGUAGUGUUUUUAGGGAGAUGUGCAGUGCCAUUUCUUCUCCAAACAUGGUGUGUAGUAUCACAGCCAAAAAGUUCAAUUCUGCUCUCGUCUGACC
ensembl:lncRNA